rnacentral:rRNA from 1 species
CAGUCGCCGCGGGAAUACGUAGGGUGCGAGCGUUAAUCGGAAUUACUGGGCGUAAAGCGUGCGCAGGCGGUUGUGUAAGACAGGUGUGAAAUCCCCGGGUUUAACCUGGGAACUGCGCUUGUGACUGCACAGCUAGAGUAUGGCAGAGGGGGGUGGAAUUCCACGUGUAGCAGUGAAAUGCGUAGAGAUGUGGAGGAACACCGAUGGCGAAGGCAGCCCCCUGGGCCAAUACUGACGCUCAUGCACGAAAGCGUGGGGAGCAAACAGGAUUAGAUACCCCCGUAGUCCCUGUCUCUUAUAC